rnacentral:misc_RNA from 1 species
AACGCACGAGACCUGCGGACCUGCGGAAGGAUCAUUAAUGUGAUGGAUGUGCUAGUCUUGACCUCUUAAUCCUCCUUCAAUUUAUUGUUAGGUGGGGGCCUGACGGCUCAAGGGGAAAGGAAAUAAGAACCCGUUCGGGUGUGCACUCCGAUACAAUCCAAUUUUCUCUUAUACCUUGUGCAUCUUUGCCUGCUGAGCAUGAAAGGAAUGUUGAAGCAACAUUCCUGAUUGAUCAUGUAG